CAGAGAUGAAUAAAUAGAUAAAUAAAUUAUCUGCGCUCCUGGCCAAGAAACGGGAACUCGUAUGGAACUGGCAUCUAAUUCACGUGGAAUUAAUGCGACAAUCCAACCCUCUGGGGCCUUUGGCACAAAGCCGGGGACUCUCCUGGCAUUCUGAUUUCUUGUCCCACGGCUGAAGCUGUCCCACCCUGAACGUGGCUGGGGUCAGGCUGUGGUGUCACCUCUGGUGACCCCCAGGAGCAGCAGCAUCCCCUCAAGCUGAAGAAUUGGACAAUAUUUUGACUUUUCCAAGUGUCUCCAAGAGCAAUGGGCAGCGUUGAUUUGGGACAGAAUCCAGGCCCAG